UCUUACCUACGGGGGGCAGCAGUGAGGAAUAUUGGUCAAUGGACGGAAGUCUGAACCAGCCAUGCCGCGUGCAGGAUGACGGCUCUAUGAGUUGUAAACUGCUUUUGUACGAGAAUAAUAGUUCUUACGUGUAGGGAUUUGAAUGUAUCGUACGAAUAAGGAACGGCUAACUCCGUGCCAGCAGCCGCGGUAAUACGGAGGAUUCGAGCGUUAUCCGGAUUUAUUGGGUUUAAAGGGUGCGUAGGCUGUCGGCUAAGUUAGAGGUCAAAUGUCGGGUCUUAACCC
rnacentral:rRNA from 1 species